rnacentral:rRNA from 1 species
GUGCGCAUUGUAGUUUGCUGAGGAUGCUUCGGGAGCGUGUCCCCAUCUAAGUGCCCUGAGAACGGGCUGUCAUACAUGGUGAGAAUCCCGCUAUGGGAUGUGGUGUCCGCGCCCGUGUGAAGCUCCUUCGACGAGUCGAGUUGUUUGGGAAUGCCGCUCUAAAUGGGUGGUAAAUUUCAUCUAAAGCUAAAUAUUGGCCGGAGACCGAUAGCGCACAAGUAGAGUGAUCGAAAGAUGAAAAGCACUUUGAAAAGAGAGUUAAAAAGCACGUGAAAUUGUUGAAAGGGAAGCGUUUGCGACCAGACUCGCCUACGGGGUUCAGCCUACCUUCGGGUAGGUGUACUUCCCCGUGGGCGGGCCAGCGUCGGUUUGGGCGGCCGGUCAAAGGCCCUC